GGGUUCAGUUUCUGCUACUGUGUCACCUCAAGUGUCAGGUCGUACCACCGUCGGUGUAAAUAAAACGAAUGAAGAAAGUAAAAACAUAGGAGAAAAUAUAAAUUUGCUAAGUUCACAGAAGGAACAGAGAAAAAUAAAUGACACAAAAAUUGAUAACGAAGAAAAAAGGGAUAAGUCAAAAAAUGAUAUGAAUAGUAGUACAGUAGAAAGGGGAAAUAAAAUCGAUGGGGGGCUAACUGAUGUGGGAUCAACUUAUGACGAUAAAAAUGUAAAUACAAUUAAUUACAACUACGAAAUUUUAAAAGAUUAUUACAACAGUUUUUUUAUGAACGCGUACAUGUGGGUUUUGAAUAAUUUGAUUGUCGAUGACAAAAUUAUGAAUUCUCGAAAUGUGUUCAGCAACAAUAUAAAAAAUAAUUUAAAAGUAAAAAUGGGUAACAACUAUUGUUGUGAUUAUAUUUAUAAUAUUUAUGACAAUAAUUGGAAGCAUUUGAGUGAGUACAUGAAUGAUGAUAUUUUGUUUUUGCAGAGACUGAAGUGGGGCUCUGACCGAGUUGGCGGAAAUGAUGGAGGUGGUGAAGGGAGUGGUGAAGGAAGUGGUGAAGGAAGUGGUGAAGGAAGUGGUGAAGGAAGUGGUGGAGGAAGUGGUGAAGGAAUUGGUGAAGGGAUUGGUGAAGGAAGUGGUGAAGGAAGUGGUGACGGACAAAUAGAGGGGUAUAACGAUGAAACAUUAACAAAUGACCCAACCCAAACACCAUCACAACCACUAGGAAAAGAAAGUGGACAAAGCAAAUCAAAACCGAUAAAUAAUGAAAAAAACAAAAAAAGGAGCACAAAAAAAAAGAACACAACAAACUAUAUCGAAAGCAUGUUACCAAACAGGUAUGACGAGAUAUAUAUUAACACAAUUGAACUCAUAAGAAUUGAAAAGAUGAUUAAAUACACUUUAGAACAAAAUAAAUCCAUUUUAGUAUACGGAAACAAUGGUACAGGUAAAACAAA
rnacentral:lncRNA from 1 species